AUUGAACGCUGGCGGCAGGCCUAACACAUGCAAGUCGAGCGGAUGACGGGAGCUUGCUCCUUGAUUCAGCGGCGGACGGGUGAGUAAUGCCUAGGAAUCUGCCUGGUAGUGGGGGACAACGUUUCGAAAGGAACGCUAAUACCGCAUACGUCCUACGAGAGAAAGCAGGGGACCUUCGGGCCUUGCGCUAUCAGAUGAGCCUAGGUCGGAUUAGCUAGUAGGUGAGGUAAUGGCUCACCUAGGCGACGAUCCGUAACUGGUCUGAGAGGAUGAUCAGUCACACUGGAACUGAGACACGGUCCAGACUCCUACGGGAGGCAGCAGUGGGGAAUAUUGGACAAUGGGCGAAAGCCUGAUCCAGCCAUGCCGCGUGUGUGAAGAAGGUCUUCGGAUUGUAAAGCACUUUAAGUUGGGAGGAAGGGCAGUAAGCUAAUACCUUGCUGUUUUGACGUUACCGACAGAAUAAGCACCGGCUAACUCUGUGCCAGCCGCCGCAGUAACAC
rnacentral:rRNA from 1 species